UAACCACAGGCAAUAGUAAUUUCAACAUCAGCAGUGAAAUGCGGAAAUGGGUCUCUGAGCCACAUCACAUCUGCAUCCUUGAAUGCGAAAUUAUAGCCCAAUUCAAGAACUCUCCUCAAGAAGUCAAUCCUUCUCCACAUAAGCUUAGGGUAUUCUUCAGUCAUGAACCUUUUCUCAACAGCAAAGUCGAUUCCUGGGGUAGUGAGCAAGUAACAGUGGGGAUGUAUAGACUUGCACCAAUUAAAUGCCUUGUAAUCUACAG